ensembl:lncRNA
ACACGAAGCAGAUGGUGGGCUGGAUGUGGCCUGGGGGCCAUGGUUUCUGGACCCCCAGUGUCGUCUAAGGCAGCCUGGCUCCAUGUGGGAGCUGCAGGAGGAGCAGCUAUGGAUGUAACGAUUGUGAUGGAUGACACCGAAGUCAAGGACAGGCGGCAGGAGAGUGUGGAUCUGGAAGCUCAGGUAAGAUGGAGCUUUUGUUACACGGCACUGGCUCUAUUAUGGCAUUUCUGACAGCCCUCUCGGUGAGAACGGAAGGCUGUCCACACUCUGCCUCACGCGGCCCCAGGCAAUCUCCGCAGUUCUCCGUGGCUCUGCCUGGGAGGUGGGUAAGGCCUGAGGUGGGCCACAGAGACCCAGAGAGAGCUCUUUGCUCGCCUGGGCAUGCUUAGAAAGUGGUUUUUGCCCUCCAAGGCAUGUUCCUUAGAAGGCACUACCCUGGCACAGAGACACCUGGGGAGCUGAAUGCACAUGGCCUGCUGUCAACAGCUCCCUCCCAGGGAGGAGGCUGCACAGAGCCAGAACGCAGUCUGCAGCAGCAAUGACCUUCAGACCCCCAGAGACAGGACAAAGACUCUGUCCCUCUCACACCCUCACCCUCUUGACUUCUCUGGCUCGUCAGCACCACUCAAUAAGGUGGUGACUGUGAUUGCCCCCAGUUUACAAAUGAGGAACGGAGGCUUGGUAGGAGGGGACACACUCGGUCCAGGACUUCAAAGACUGAGCUCCUCACCCCUGCUCUCUCCCAUAAGGGAGACCUGGGCCGAGUGGGGCAAGGAUGGAGGAAAGGUCCUAUUCCUGCUCUGCUGCCCACAAGCUGUGUGCCCUCAGUCAGGAAAGUAACCUCUCUGGGCUCCGGGUACUCCUCCCUAAGGCUUGCACGUGGUACACACUCUAUUAGUGUUAAUUCUUCCUCUUCCCUGAGGAGGAGCUGCUCACAGUCUAGAGGGAGGAGCUAAAUAUUUAAUUAAGGAAACUUACAAUGCAAUCUGAGAUGAGACUGAAUAAAGCAACGAGCAAAGUGAUCUGGUGCACCAAGGGAGGAGGGCCGAGCAAGGACUGGCUGGCCAGGUAGUGAGGCAGGAUGCCAGGCCCUCUUGGCUCUCACCUGCACCCAGGUACCCUCAGAGGCACGGCCUAGGCAUCCUUCACCAUGACAGAGAGGGGCCAAACCAGUCACCUGUGCCAGCCUUCCUGGCAGAACUUAGUCAUGAAUUAAGUCCUAGCACUCCUCACUCAGAGAACUCAGCCUGCUGCAAUAGGGAUUAAAUAUGGCCUUGGGGAAUCCCAGAUUCAAUGGCGUUUACGCAUUUAAACAGGAGGCAGUUCCCUUUAAAUGUCACCUCCUGACUAUUGCCCCAGCAGCACCCGGCAACCCCUCUACCACGAGCCUUCAGCAGCUCCCUAUCCUGGAGGAGGCUGGCAUGGUCGGCGUCGUCCUCCGUCCUGACCAUCGCAGUCGCUGCCCUAUCCUGUACCUGCCCACGCACUCCACGAAGCUGCCUGCUUUGGUGAGCAAGGCUAUGCUGCGGCACAGCCAAGCCUGCACCUCUGCCUGAGUCAUCCUCAGAGCUGAGUAGUUACAACAGGACCCCAUGGACCACAAAGCCUAAAUCGUUACCAUCUGGCCCUUUACAGAAAAAUGUUCUCAGGCCCUGUGUUACAGCUGUCUCACCUCCUUCUCCCAGUUACUGGAAGAAGCCAAUGUCAUUCUCGUUUCCCAAGUGAGGAACCCAAGGCUGUGAGGGGUGAGGCCACUCCCACCAGGGCAGGCCUGGGCACAGAACAGCGGCUCGGUGGUUAUCUGCUGAGUGAGUGGAUGAAUGAAUGAAUGAUGUGACCAAAUGCCCCUGUGCUCAGCAUGGAGUUCGAGCAUCACAGGGACCAUCCCAGUGGCCUGUGGGGGAGAAGGUGCUCUCUGCCCCUGGAGAUGGUGGCCCUGAGUAGUCAUGCACCCAUAAUUGAUAUGUUCUGAGACGGCAUCUGCCAAUGCCUCGGGCAGCCAGGACACAGCCAGGGCCAAGGCCAGCCCUGGGAGGACAGAGUGGCAGCCUGGCCACUGACUGUGAGGUGCAAAAGAGAGCAGAGAGAAUGGGGCAGGUCAGUUCCAGGCCCACAGCAAGGAGGCAUUCCAUGGUCAUUGGAGCAACAGGGCAGCCCCUAGGAUGGGGCAGUGGGCUGGGAUCUGACCUCUGAGGGGACAGACUGAGCCGCCUUGGGAGCCAGGUGCACGCCAGAGCACAGUCCUACAGAACUGCCCCCUGGGCUCGGGGGCAGCCACGGCAGUGGGAGGCUGAAUGGGGACCUUCAUCCAGAUUAAAAGCCAACUCAAUGCUGGACCUGAAAUAGUUCGGGUCGGCCAGGGGCAGGCAGGAGCUGCCAGCACCAGUCCUGCUCAGCCUGCCUGUAGGGAGCUCACCUUCCAGUGAAGGAGGCAAUACUAAGCCAAACCCAUCAGACACCACGCAUCCUGCGAAAAGAAUACCCAACCCGAGGGGGCCAGGCCGAGUGUAAACCUGGAAACCAGCUGGGCAGGGAAAGCCUCCCUGAGAUGAAAACACUGGUAUAAAGACCUGCAAAAGGUAAGGGAGCCAUGUGAGUGUUAGGGGAAGAAUGUGCCAGAUGGGCGGAGAGCACAGCCCCUGCAAAGGCCCCGGGGCAGGGAGGGAGUCCAGGAAGAGUUGAGGCUAGAGAAGUGGCAGGGCAGGUGGCCAGAGCCCCGAGCCCCCCUUGAGGACUUUGGCUUUGACUCUGAGUGAGGAGGGAGCCACGGGAAGGUGCUGAGCACAAGAGGGGCAUGGAUGCAGUUGGGUUUUAUUAGGUCCUUCUGCUGUUCAGGGAGGGAGAGGGAGGGAGGAAGUGAGGGAGUGGGGAUGAAGGACGCAGGGAGGGAGGGAGGAGGGGAGGCGAAUGAGGAGCUUGCUAAGCUCCACCCCAGGAGACACACAGAGUGAGGUAGGGCCAGUGUGUGGCUCAUAUGCCAUCAAGUCCUGCAGACCUUGCCUGAUGCCCUCAAAACUCAAAACGAGUUGGGCACAGGCCCCAGGAAGGGAUACAUCCCACCUGGUCUCUGUUAUUGGCUUCACUUUGCUGCCAAGGACCCUGAACCUCAGAGAGUGAUGAAGCUUUCCAGGGUCACACAAUGUGAUUACCAGAUAUGCCAGGAUUCAAAUCCACAACCUCACCAUCACACACCCAGGAUUCCGGACCCUCAAGGCGGAGGCAGCGUCCCCACGCCCCUGCCAAUGCAGGGGCUACUUCCCCAUCAAUCUAAUGGAGGAGGAGCCUUGGUCAUGCUCCCAGGACACAGGCUGGGGACCCAGCCCUGCCCCCAGGAGUGUCUUCCUGUGCCCUCCCUGCAUGAGAUGUGCUGAGUGCCACAGGCCCAGGGACAGGGCUGGGAUUUACGGCUCUCUAUUUUAAUAAAGACUGUUCAAAACCCUGAAAAUUAAUUUCCCCGGGGAAGACAAUUACAUGUCAAAUAAUACACCCGCUGAGCAAAUGAUUAAGAUAAAAUCCAGCCAAGAAGGCUUUGCACCGAUUGGUUUUGAGAUACUUGGCUCAACACGGAUGGCCUUAAAAGGUUAUUACCAGGCAGUAAUGAACACAGGUGUCCAGUCGAGGGGAGGGAAUUCAUUUCUAAUAUUUGUGCCCCUUCACAAUUUAUUUCAAACCUAUAAAUGGUGUCUGUGGGAAAGCUGUCUCUGACACCUUCUAAUAAAAGCACAUUAACAGCUCCAAUGAAGGCCGGUGCUGGCAGUCAGGUCUUCCCGGUUUCCACAGGGAUGGUGGCCUGUGACUAAAGGGAGGCUGGCCUGGGCCAGUGGGCAUACGACUGGGAGGCUCUUAGAUGUGGAUGUGGAGGGCUUCCUUUGGUCUUCAAGUCCAAAUGUGGCCUUGUGACUUCUGCCAUUUUAGAAAAUUUGGCCAGCAUUGCCUCUGGAAAUGAUUGGCUGAAACUUUAGGUAUCCCAGUGCCACCAGCCAGCCUUUGUCAGGUACAAGGCCAAGCAUUCUCUGCAGACCCCUGAGUUUGCACCCCCUGACUGAGCCUUCUUGUGGAAAGUGAGGCCCAGAGAGGUGAAGCAGGUUGUUCAGGAACACACUGCAAGGUGGGAAAGCAAGGAUGGAAGCCUGGCUGUGCUCCCUCCCAACCCAGAGCCCACGUUGACCUGCAGCCUCCUGUCACUGCUCAGCUGAGCCUGGUCAGACUGAUUACACACUCUAGGUUAUGACAGGAUUUAGCAUAGUGUGGAGCAGAGGUCUGCAAACCAUGGCCCUCGAGCCAAAUCUGGCCUGUGGCUUGCUUUUGCAAAUAAAGUUUUAUUGGAACACAACCACACCUGUUCCUGCAUUGGGUAUGACAGCUUUGAGAACAGCAGCCAAGGGACGCUGCCAACUCAACCUGACCUUCUGCUGUCAUAACUGGCAGGCAUGGUGUGGGCCUGCACCCUGAGCUAGCAACUGCUUCAUUCCACAGAAAAGACUUCCGUCAGGGUAUACGGGUUCGUUUGCAACUGGCUAUGAGGGCAGACAUCUUGCAGGGGCUGGGGGAGUGGCAGUGACUGCAGAGCAUCAGGGCCCAAGUCACCUUCACCUGCACCCUGGCUGCUUUAGGAAGUGGUAACGGCUGGGGGGACCCAGCUUCCUAGGGCUCACCAAGGCCCCCACCGAGCUCACCAACAUUGCUUGUGUCUCCAGAGUAGAGAAUUCAAGGACUCCAGAAUGUUAACCAAGGGAAGUCACUCUCUCCUCCCCAGCCUCAUUUUCUUCAUCUCUAACGAGGGGCACAUCCAGUGACUGCUGACGCUCUGCUCUGCAAGGUGGUCCAUGGAUCUCUAUGAGUGACUAUAGAGCUCAGAGCACUUCUUUUGAUAACAGAAAACAGAGGCCGAGAGUAGCUGUUCAUCUGUGAAGUGGGGAUGUUAACGGCACCACCCCCUUCCACACACACUGGAUUGCAAUGUGCAAAUUGAAGAGACAUCCAUGCUGUGGUGGCUAGGCAAGGCUGGCUCACGUUAAGAGCUCAAGAAAGGGCACUGAUGGGACUGUCAUUUGUGGUGUGCUUGGCCAAGGUCUCAGGGGCGGGGACCCCGCCCAUCAGACCCAAGACCAGAGAUGCUCUUGGGCAAACCUCCUAUGGGAGCUCCUGGAUCCCCCAGACUGUCCUGGCUCAGUCAUGGGCCAUGCCCUCCUCCCAGUGGCUGCCUUCAGCCCCACACAGCACCUGCCAGCAGUCGUUCAGCAUUAUCAAGAGGGCAGGUCCCCGAUUCAUAUCCACCCACCUUCACCACCUCCGUGCCGCCAUCCUGGCCUGGCCACUGUCAUGUCUGGCCAGGGCACCAGGGAGGCCUCCUAAGGGAUCUCCUUCUUCCUUCUCCAGUCCACACAGCAGCCGGAGGGAUCUUUUGACACUUUUACCACAAAAUUCAGAUGGCGCCACCCCCUGCCUGCAGCAGUGUGCCGCUCCCCACUGCCCCUGGGUAACCACAGCAUGGUUUCUGCCGGCCCCUCACCCUUGCCCAAAUCCUUAUAACAUCGUCUGUCUUCCACAUCCUUAAACAUGCCAAGCAAACUCUCAGCUAGGGGCCUUUGCUCCUGCUAGUCUCUUUGCCCGGAAUGUGCCUUCUCAGCUGUUUUUGUGGCUGUCUCCGUACCCUCAGGUGUCCUUUUAAUCAUCACCUUCACAGAGAAACCUUCCCUGACCUCCCGCCCCCACCUCCACCAGGUGAGGCCCUCCAGCUGCUCUCUGUCAUUGCUCCCAGGUCACUUUCUCUACCGUGUUGUUUAAAUCACAGGCAUCUAACCACUAGACAUUCACUCCUUCAUGGUCUGUCCCGGAGCAGGCGGUGGUGGCAGGACGGGGCCCGGGCAGUGCUGAAGGUGUGGGAACCAGUCCACCACAGCUGGCAGUGCAGUGUGGUGCUCGAGAGCGAGAACUCUGGAGCUGCACAGCCCAGGAUGAAUCCCACACAAAUCUCUCAGAAGCUGUGCCCUUGUUCCUGAACAGGGCCUUAGUUUCAUUUCCUCAUCUGCACAAUGAGAUAACAGCAUCAUCUACCAUACUGGAAUUCCGCUGGUGGGGGAUAAAGGCCUUACUCGUGCUGCCACUUGUUAGAGAAGGAAUGUAGACUCCGGACGCCUCUGCCACCCUAUGCCCUGGCCAGGGAAAACAAUGGGACAAGGAGGACCCGAAGCCAGCUGAGGGCCACGUGCUGCCCGGUGUUCCUCUCCCAGUGCGGUCCUGCUAAAAGGGACCUGGCCACCUGGGAAGGGUGAUGAUAUUUUCUCACUGGGCCUACCAAAGGAAAAAGAUGCCUCCUGCACUGCAGGCGUCUUAAAGGUUCUUUUUCAAAAUGAGAUUUGG